GGUGUUUGAAAAUGGAUGACUGUAUGUAACCCAGUGUUAAAAACACAAGUAAAAAAUGAAUAGAUGUUGAUUUAAUAUCUUAUUCUACAACGAGAUUAAAAAGUAAUAAAGUUAAAAAAAAAAUAUAUGUUUGUAAAUAUGUUUAUAAAUAUUGAUA